ACCAUUCUUUGGUCAAGGGUAUAUGAGUAGCUGUACUCCCCUUCUAGAAAUUCCAAACAAGCUCUCAAAAAGAUAUGAAGUCAAAACAAUGAAAUACCACC
ensembl:misc_RNA 7SK 7SK RNA